rnacentral:rRNA from 1 species
CGCGUAGGCGGCCGUGUAAGUCACUUGUGAAAUCCCGGGGCUCAACUCCGGGGCUGCAGGUGAGACUGCAUGGCUAGAGCACGGUAGAGGCGAGUGGAAUUCCCGGUGUAGCGGUGGAAUGCGUAGAUAUCGGGAAGAACACCGGUGGCGAAGGCGGCUCGCUGGGCCGUUGCUGACGCUGAGGCGCGAAAGCGUGGGAGCAAACA